UUCCUUGGAAAAGGACAGCUGAGAGGGUGAAACUCCCGUCCGCCUGGUAGAAUGAGUCUUUGUCAACGAGUCGAGUUGUUUGGGAUUGCAGCUCUAAUUUGGUGGUAAAUUCCAUCUAAAGCUAAAUAUUGGUGGGAGACCGAUAGCGUACAAGUACCGUGAGGGAAAGAUGCAAAGAACUUUGAAAAGAGAGUUAAAGAGUACCUGAAAUUGCUGAAGCGGAAGCGAAGGAAACCAGUGUUUGUUGGUUCAUAUUUCCUUGGCCACUUGUGGUUUGGGCG
rnacentral:rRNA from 1 species